rnacentral:rRNA from 2 species
GUGCUAAUCCGGUAUAUCUCUAAGGAUCGCAGUUCCUUAAAAAAAAGAUGGUUCUGCUAUCGCUUUUAGAUGGCCCCGCGGCGCAUUAACUAGUUGGUGGGGUAACGGCCUACCAAGGCGAUGAUACGUAGCCGAACUGAGAGGUUGAUCGGCCACAUUGGGACUGAGACACGGCCCAAACUCCUACGGGAGGCAGCAGUAGGGAAUCUUCCACAAUGGACGCAAGUCUGAUGGAGCAACGCCGCGUGAGUGAAGAAGGUCUUCGGAUCGUAAAACUCUGUUGUUAGAGAAGAACACGAGUGAGAGUAACUGUUCAUUCGAUGACGGUAUCUAACCAGCAAGUCACGGCUAACUACGUGCCAGCAGCCGCGGUAAUACGUAGGUGGCAAGCGUUGUCCGGAUUUAUUGGGCGUAAAGCGAACGCAGGCGGUCUUUUAAGUCUGAUGUGAAAGCCUUCGGCUUAACCGGAGUAGU